AGAGUUUGAUCAUGGCUCAGAAUGAACGCUGGCGGCGUGCUUAACACAUGCAAGUCGAACGAGAAAGUUUCCUUUGGGGAAUGAGUAGAGUGGCGCACGGGUGAGUAAUACGUAGAUAAUCUACCCUUGAAUUUGGGAUAACAUCGCGAAAGUGGUGCUAAUACCGGAUAAUAUUUAUAAGACUUUGGUUUUGUAAAUCAAAGAUGGCCUCUUCUUGAAAGCUAUUGUUUGGGGAUGAGUCUACGCACCAUUAGCUAGUUGGUGGGGUAAAAGCCUACCAAGGCGACGAUGGUUAGCUGGUCUGAGAGGAUGAUCAGCCACACUGGAACUGACACACGGUCCAGACUCCUACGGGAGGCAGCAGUGAGGAAUUUUGCGCAAUGGGGGAAACCCUGACGCAGCAACGCCGCGUGAGUGAUGAAGGCUCUUGGGUCGUAAAACUCUGUCAGUAGGGAAGAAGUUGUUUAUAGUUAACACCUAUAGGCAUUGACGGUACCUACAAAGGAAGCACCGGCUAACUCCGUGCCAGCAGCCGCGGUAAUACGGGGGGUGCAAGCGUUAUUCGGAAUUAUUGGGCGUAAAGCGAGUGUAGGCGGUUUGUUAAGUCAGAUGUGAAAGCCCGGGGCUCAACCCCGGAAGUGCAUUUGAAACUGGCAGACUUGAGUAUGGGAGAGGAGAGUGGAAUUCCUGGUGUAGAGG
rnacentral:rRNA from 1 species